AGAGCGAACGCUGGCGGCAGGCCUAAUACAUGCAAGUCGAACGCACCUUCGGGUGAGUGGCGGACGGGUGAGUAACACGUGGGAACGUGCCUUUGGUUCGGAAUAAUCCGGGGAAACCUGGCCUAAUACCGGAUGUGCCCUUCGGGGGAAAGAUUUAUCGCCAUUAGAGCGGCCCGCGUCUGAUUAGCUAGUUGGUGAGGUAAAGGCUCACCAAGGCUACGAUCAGUAGCUGGUCUGAGAGGAUGAUCAGCCACACUGGGACUGAGACACGGCCCAGACUCCUACGGGAGGCAGCAGUAGGGAAUCUUGCGCAAUGGGCGAAAGCCUGACGCAGCCAUGCCGCGUGAAUGAUGAAGGUCUUAGGAUUGUAAAAUUCUUUCAGCGGGGAAGAUAAUGACUGUACCGCAGAAGAAGCUCGGCUAACUCGCGCCAGCAGCCGC
rnacentral:rRNA from 1 species